rnacentral:rRNA from 1 species
CCCUUAGAUGUCCUGGGCCGCACGCGCGUUACACUGAUGCAUUCAACGAGCUUAUAACCUUGGCCGAGAGGCCUGGGCAAUCUUGUUAACGUGCAUCGUGAUAGGGAUAGAUUAUUGAAAUUAUUAAUCUUGAACGAGGAAUUCCUAGUAAACGCAGAUCAUCAAUCUGCAUUGAUUACGUCCCUGCCCUUUGUACACACCGCCCGUCGCACCUACCGAUUGGAUGGUCCGGUGAAGCCUCGGGAUUGUGGUUCUUGCCGCUUUAUUGUGGCGUGACCGCGAGAACUUGUCUAAACCUUAACAUCUAGAGGAAGGUGAAGUCGUANCA